AUGCUCCAGUGUGAUGAGGUACAUGUGACAGAGAGCUCAGAAGUAUGGCAACCAGCCUCUAGUCAAGACCAAGAACAUCCCAGAGCUACAGCUCCCGUGAGUCAGACUUGUCCAGUAACCAAAGGCAGAAUACAGGCAGUACAGUACAGCACAAAGCAAAUGCUGUUAGAGGUCACACCAAGGAUAACGCAGGACAAACAAUUGGCUCAGGAGCUGGAGAAAAGCAUCAUGAAAAACAACCAAGUGUGAACAGGGGAAGUGGGUUAGAUGUUGCAGCAUCUCUACAUAGAAGUUGCCAGCUAAGUGCAUUUUUUUCCUGGAGACCUGCUAAAACCUAACACGACAGUAUGUUCCUUCUGUGUGAGAUGAAACAGCGACACUGCCAGUAGGAAUAUGUCAACAUGGUAAAUUUUCGCCUCUCUGGAAGUGGGCAGCUUGAUGAUUGCAGCCUGACUGUGACACCAAGGAACAUUACUGUCGGCUCUGCUACUUCAGACCAGAGAGGAAAUGUAAAGGUAUGCCAGCCUAGGUAAUCUUUUAUGUGAUUUUAAAAUUCAGACAGUAUUUCAGUCCUCUUGAAAGACGAACUGCAUGUCAAAGAUAUCACUAAGUACUAAAUAACUCUGUGAUGGUAGGUGCUUUUACCACUGUUCUAAUUUGGUUCCAGUAAAACAAAUGUACACACUGAACAAUUUGCAUUUGCACUUUCUCUGUAUUUCCUUGUUAGCUGGUAGGUCUCUUGAAUUAGCAUCUGCAGGCACAUCUCCAGAAGCUGAUCUGUCAUGCCUAUCUCCUUGCAAUGGCUGCAUUGCUCUUUUUGUGUGUCCAUUAGAAGAUCUGUCCCUGGG
rnacentral:lncRNA from 1 species